UGAGUCUGGAAUGUUCUGCUCCACUUCCAGUAAAGUGAAGUCGACUUAUUUCUGGAAUGUCACAGAACUCACUCCUGUGCUGUACAGUAGUCUCGUUUAGACCCAUUCCCUGGAUCGGUUGUUGUUUUGGACGUUAACCAGCCUCAGCCUGUUAACCCCGCCCACAUUACAUCUCUAAUUCAGUUCGAUUUCCUGGUCUGCAUUUUGCCGUUAGUGCGGCUGAUUUAAUCUGGUGGUCCUUUUAAGAUUUUAGCGUUCAUGAUGAUGUCGGAGGCCACAUGACAAUGCCAACAUGGCGGAUGUAGAAUGUCUGGGAUUUUAUUCAUACCACACACACAUACACACAUACUUGGUACGUACAUCUUUAAGAAGGUGUGUAAUGAGACUGACAAACAAAAAGGCGCAGGAGUGCAUGGUCACGUUUAUUAACCCGAAUACUGGGUAUUCACGUGGCAGGAACAUAAACUGUGGGUGUGAAAAGUACCAUUUGACGCUUCGAAGAAUCAUAUAGGGUUAGGGUUAGGGGUUAGGGUUAAGGUUAGGGUUAGGGUUAAGGUUAGGGUUAGGGUUAAGGUUAAGGUUAGGGUUAGGGUUGGGGUUAGG
ensembl:lncRNA